CAGCAGCCGCGGUAAUACGUAGGGGGCAAGCGUUGUCCGGAAUUAUUGGGCGUAAAGCGCGCGCAGGCGGUCUUUUAAGUCUGAUGUGAAAUCUCGUGGCUUAACCACGAGUUGUCAUUGGAAACUGAAGGACUUGAGGACAGAAGAGGAGAGUGGAAUUCCACGUGGAGCGGUGAAAUGCGUAGAGAUGUGGAGGAACACCAGUGGCGAAGGCGACUCUCUGGUCUGUAACUGACGCUGAGGCGCGAAAGCGUGGGUAGCGAACAGGAUUAGAUACCCUGGUAGUCCACGCCGUAAACGAUGAGUGCUAGGUGUCAGGGGGUUUCCGCCCCUUGGUGCUGGAGUUAACGCAUUAAGCACUCCGCCUGGGGAGUACGGCCGCAAGGCUGAAACUCAAAAGAAUUGACGGGGGCCCGCACAAGCGGUGGAGCAUGUGGUUUAAUUCGAAGCAACGCGAAGAACCUUACCAGGUCUUGACAUCCUCUGAUACCCCUAGAGAUAGGGCAUUCCCUUCGGGGACAGAGUGACAGGAGGUGCAUGGCC
rnacentral:rRNA from 1 species